rnacentral:rRNA from 1 species
UACGUAGGGUGCAAGCGUUGCCCGGAUUUAUUGGGCGUAAAGGGCGCGUAGGCGGCGUGGUAAGUCACUUGUGAAAUCUCCGGGCUUAACUCGGAACGGUCAAGUGAUACUGCUGCGCUAGAGUGCGGAAGGGGCAACUGGAAUUCUCGGUGUAGCGGUGAAAUGCGUAGAUAUCGAGAGGAACACCUGCGGCGAAGGCGGGUUGCUGGGCCGACACUGACGCUGAGGCGCGAAAGCUAGGGGAGCGAACGGG